GAUGAAGAACGUAGCGAAAUGCGAUAAGUAAUGUGAAUUGCAGAAUUCCGUGAAUCAUCGAAUCUUUGAACGCACAUUGCGCCCUCUGGUAUUCCGGGGGGCAUGCCUGUUCGAGCGUCAUUAUAACCACUCAAGCUCUCGCUUGGUAUUGGGGUUCGCGGUUCCGCGGCCCCUAAAAUCAGUGGCGGUGCCUGUCGGCUCUACGCGUAGUAAUACUCCUCGCGAUUGAGUCCGGUAGGUCUACUUGCCAGCAACCCCCAAUUUUUACAGGUUGACCUCGGAUCAGGUAGGGAUACCCGCUGAACUUAAGCAUAUCAAUAAGCGGAGGA
rnacentral:misc_RNA from 1 species